CCAUCGGUGGUUCAGUGGUAGAAUGGGGCGGCCCGGGUUCGAUUCCCGGCCGAUGCA
rnacentral:tRNA from 1 species